UGGGGAAUAUUGCACAAUGGGCGCAAGCCUGAUGCAGCCAUGCCGCGUGUAUGAAGAAGGCCUUCGGGUUGUAAAGUACUUUCAGCGGGGAGGAAGGGAGUAAAGUUAAUACCUUUGCUCAUUGACGUUACCCGCAGAAGAAGCACCGGCUAACUCCGUGCCAGCAGCCGCGGUAAUACGGAGGGUGCAAGCGUUAAUCGGAAUUACUGGGCGUAAAGCGCACGCAGGCGGUUUGUUAAGUCAGAUGUGAAAUCCCCGGGCUUAACCCGGGAAUUGCAUCUGAUACUGGUCAGCUAGAGUCUUGUAGAGGGGGGUAGAAUUCCAUGUGUAGCGGUGAAAUGCGUAGAGAUGUGGAGGAAUACCGGUGGCGAAGGCGGCCCCCUGGACGAAGACUGACGCUCAGGUGCGAAAGCGUGGGGAGCAAACAGG
rnacentral:rRNA from 1 species